rnacentral:rRNA from 1 species
CGGGUGAGUAACACGUGAGCAACCUGCCCCUGACUCUGGGAUAAGCGCUGGAAACGGCGUCUAAUACUGGAUACGAACCACGACCGCAUGGUCAGUGGUUGGAAAGAAUUUCGGUUGGGGAUGGGCUCGCGGCCUAUCAGCUUGUUGGUGAGGUAAUGGCUCACCAAGGCGUCGACGGGUAGCCGGCCUGAGAGGGUGACCGGCCACACUGGGACUGAGACACGGCCCAGACUCCUACGGGAGGCAGCAGUGGGGAAUAUUGCACAAUGGGCGCAAGCCUGAUGCAGCAACGCCGCGUGAGGGAUGACGGCCUUCGGGUUGUAAACCUCUUUUAGCAGGGAAGAAGCGAAAGUGACGGUACCUGCAGAAAAAGCGCCGGCUAACUACGUGCCAGCAGCCGCGGUAAUACGUAGGGCGCAAGCGUUAUCCGGAAUUAUUGGGCGUAAAGAGCUCGUAGGCGGUUUGUCGCGUCUGCUGUGAAAUCCGGAGGCUCAACCUCCGGCCUGCAGUGGGUACGGGCAGACUAGAGUGCGGUAGGGGAGAUUGGAAUUCCUGGUGUAGCGGUGGAAUGCGCAGAUAUCAGGAGGAACACCGAUGGCGAAGGCAGAUCUCUGGGCCGUAACUGACGCUGAGGAGCGAAAGGGUGGGGAGCAAACAGGCUUAGAUACCCUGGUAGUCCACCCCGUAAACGUUGGGAACUAGUUGUGGGGUCCAUUCCACGGAUUCCGUGACGCAGCUAACGCAUUAAGUUCCCCGCCUGGGGAGUACGGCCGCAAGGCUAAAACUCAAAGGAAUUGACGGGGACCCGCACAAGCGGCGGAGCAUGCGGAUUAAUUCGAUGCAACGCGAAGAACCUUACCAAGGCUUGACAUAUACGAGAACGGGCCAGAAAUGGUCAACUCUUUGGACACUCGUAAACAGGUGGUUGCAUGGUUGUCGUCAGCUCGUGUCGUGAGAUGUUGGGUUAAGUCCCGCAACGAGCGCAACCCUCGUUCUAUGUUGCCAGCACGUAAUGGUGGGAACUCAUGGGAUACUGCCGGGGUCAACUCGGAGGAAGGUGGGGAUGACGUCAAAUCAUCAUGCCCCUUAUGUCUUGGGCUUCACGCAUGCUACAAUGGCCGGUACAAAGGGCUGCAAUACCGCGAGGUGGAGCGAAUCCCAAAAAGCCGGUCCCAGUUCGGAUUGAGGUCUGCAACUCGACCUCAUGAAGUCGGAGUCGCUAGUAAUCGCAGAUCAGCAACGCUGCGGUGAAUACGUUCCCGGGUCUUGUACACACCGCCCGUCAAGUCAUG